AGGCCUAACACAUGCAAGUCGAACGGAUCCUUCGGGAUUAGUGGCGGACGGGUGAGUAACACGUGGGAACGUGCCCUUUGGUUCGGAACAACUCAGGGAAACUUGAGCUAAUACCGGAUGUGCCCUUCGGGGGAAAGAUUUAUCGCCAUUGGAGCGGCCCGCGUCUGAUUAGCUAGUUGGUGAGGUAAAGGCUCACCAAGGCGACGAUCAGUAGCUGGUCUGAGAGGAUGAUCAGCCACAUUGGGACUGAGACACGGCCCAAACUCCUACGGGAGGCAGCAGUGGGGAAUCUUGCGCAAUGGGCGAAAGCCUGACGCAGCCAUGCCGCGUGAAUGAUGAAGGUCUUAGGAUUGUAAAAUUCUUUCACCGGGGACGAUAAUGACGGUACCCGGAGAAGAAGCCCCGGCUAACUUCGUGCCAGCAGCCGCGGUAAUACGAAGGGGGCUAGCGUUGCUCGGAAUUACUGGGCGUAAAGGGAGCGUAGGCGGACUGUUAAGUUAGAGGUGAAAGCCCAGGGCUCAACCUUGGAAUUGCCUUUGAUACUGGCAGUCUUGAGUACGGAAGAGGUAUGUGGAACUCCGAGUGUAGAGGUGAAAUUCGUAGAUAUUCGGAAGAACACCAGUGGCGAAGGCGACAUACUGGUCCGUUACUGACGCUGAGGC
rnacentral:rRNA from 1 species